ensembl:snoRNA SNORA74 Small nucleolar RNA SNORA74
UCCAGCUGUAAGCAACUGUCUAAGCUGCAUUGUACCUAGGCAAGUGUUACACUGCUGGGAGAAAAACAGCUAAUAGCUGGCAGGCAUCCUAGGCCUGGAUAAUGCUGAAUUUGUGUUAACUAUACCAGUAUGCCAACAUA